AUGGAUAGGACGCUUGAAAAACAUGUUUGUCUCACUCCGGCCGUUCUCUGGAUCAUGCUGCUGUUCUUUGAUGGACAAUAUUUUGCCUGUGCAAAGACUUCAUGGGAAGGACUGACAGUUCACACGGAUAUAACUGCUUCAACUACAUGGUGUCAGCCUUUAAUCACACCUGACAACACCACAGAAAAGCAAAUGGCAUUUUUUAGCUAUCGAAAUAAUUCCCAGAUAGUGGGACUGUGCAUACUGCUCCUGAUCUCGCUGCCUCUGGUUUGGAUGGGCAUAAGGAAAUGGCAAUACACACCAACAAGAACCAAAGAACUUGAUAAUGAACAAAUCGAAAUGGUGGAUUUGAGCCCUUCACCCCCUCCUGACAGUACUUCUACAAUUGUGGAUCACAGUAGAGAUGAUUUUUAACAGUUUAAAAUAAAACAGCAGAAGGCAUGUCA
ensembl:lncRNA